CCUACGGGAGGCUGCAGUAGGGAAUAUUGCUCAAUGGGGGAAACCCUGAAGCAGCAACGCCGCGUGGAGGAUGAAGGUUUUCGGAUUGUAAACUCCUUUUGUUAGAGAAGAUAAUGACGGUAUCUAACGAAUAAGCACCGGCUAACUCCGUGCCAGCAGCCGCGGUAAUACGGAGGGUGCAAGCGUUACUCGGAAUCACUGGGCGUAAAGAGCGCGUAGGCGGGAUAGCAAGUCAGAUGUGAAAUCCUAGGGCUUAACCAUAGAACUGCAUUUGAAACUGUUAUUCUAGAGUAUGGGAGAGGUAGGUGGAAUGCUUGGUGUAGGGGUAAAAUCCGUAGAGAUCAAGAGGAAUACUCAUUGCGAAGGCGACCUGCUAGAACAUAACUGACGCUGAUGCGCGAAAGCGUGGGGAGCAAACAGGAUUAGAUACCCCUGUAGUC
rnacentral:rRNA from 1 species